ensembl:lncRNA
AUGGGGAGUGAGUUAUCUCAGGGACAUCUCUUAAGUCAUGGUAUAUCAUUGUAUACAUUCCUGAGUUUGUGGCUCCCACUUCGGAGAAUACGGCAAAGCCUCCAAAGUUUGGAUGUGAUCUACGUUGGAAAAUCAGCAAAAGCUGGAGUGCUCCUACCGCUUGCAGUUAUUGGCCUCCUACGGAGAGACUGUUUUCCUGGUGAUGCAUGUACUCACACAGUUGCAAGCCCACAAAUUGACCGAUCAGUAGAUGAAAAAAUAGAUGCUCAGAGAAGAUAA